rnacentral:lncRNA from 1 species
AGUAGAUACUGUAAUAGGUAGCAUCUAGUUAAGCUGUGUUCUGUUGCAGACACUUUCUUGGCGCUUAACGCUAUGAUUAAGGAUUAUUUGAGACCGCUCAAAGCUCUGUUUACAUCUCGCUCCAUUCAUUCAGAAAGUAUUUCAAAAGCCUGUUGCUUCAGCUUUCUAAUUAUAUGAGCUACACAGUUAUAAUUUAAAGAGCCUGUCUUGUCUUGAUAAAUAAGUCGACAAUCUAUUUAUUGGUGUUUCCAAGUGUGUGUUUGCGUGUAUGAGUGUGUGUUUGCGUGUAUGAGUGUGUGUGUGUGUGUGUGUGUGUGUGUGCUGAUAUUACAGGGUUUGCAAACAGGAGGACUGGCUGUACACCAAGAGGGGAGCGCGUCCUACACGGGGCUGGACCACGAGGGCUGAAACCACCUUACUGCCCCAAUCCGGACUCCCUCCUCCCAACCCAACCUGCCCCUUGCUCCUCAACCCGCCCAGUCCACUGCCAGUACCAGCUCCCCUCCUCCACUCACAGCUCAGUCACUCACCCACUCUCUUUUCUCUCUCCUGCUGUGUGCCAGUACCUCUCUCCCUCUCCACUUCCUCAAAGUGGCCACAGCUCCUCUCUUUUCUCUUGUCCUCUUUACAUCCCUUCACCACUUUCUUUCAUCCUCCAGCUGUGAGAGCAACCCGGCUCUGCCUGUUCGUCUUCACCUCUCCAAGCUAAACAGAUCUCAAGCCGCUGCUUCCCCCUGAAGACUUUAUUUUCAUUCUUGAUCCUUUUUCUUUGUGGCUCUUUCACCCUUCCCCUCCGGAGAGGCUGGUCGGUGUGUCUGUUGUGUGUGCAGCAGCGCGUGCGAGGGCUCUGGUGUUGUGCUCUUUGCCCUGAGGGAGUCCCUAAAGGUUGUGACUAGAGGAGAAAAGUUUUUCACCAUGAUGAAUGUUCAACUGCUGCUCCUGUUGGCCCUGGCUGGCCCUUUCUGUGCCUUCACACAUGCAAGCCCCACAGAGAUCCCUUCAGACCUCGAUGUUAGUGUAGGAGUUACAGAGGCUCCAAAAGAGGACCUUACUAUUAUCACCGGUCCUCCUGCAACCGAACCAGCGGCGGUCCCUGCAGAAGUUGUAACGGUAACAGUUGCUAAUGAAGAAGUCGUAACAGAAGAAGCAACAGUGGUCACAGAGUCGGCGCCUCCUGCCGUUACAGUCAACAUUGAAGAGGCCGUCGUUGACACAGAAGCCCCCACUGUUGCUACUCAAGCACCAGAAGCCCUCAUCACUGACCCCCCUGUAGUGGAAACCGGAGCCCCCACUUCUGAGGUCGACGUCCAACCGACGGAAGCCGCCAAGGCAGAGACGGGCGAAGAGGUGGUCGUUGAAGAUGACACAGAUGAGGGCCUGAGUUCUGGCCAGGUAGUCGGCAUCGUGAUUGGCGCUCUGUUGGUAGUGGUCAUCGUCAUCGCCGUGGUGAUUGCUGCGGUGAGGAGGAUGGGAAUAUACUCGUCUGCCAAGAACAAAAAAUCUGCGAAGAGCGUUAUGGUUUCUCCCUUGAAGAAAAAGUCGGCCAAGCAGCAGGAGCACCCGAAGUUCUGGAAAUUCUGAACUACUGAACUGUGACGUCAUUCGCGAUCAUUAAAACAAGCACGAUACCAGAACUAAACUAAUGUAACCAGGACUCUGGACUGUUGUCAAAAAAGAGGGGGAGGGAGACUUGUGUGUGUUAAUGUAUGUACUUUAUGUAUGUGAGACAAAAACAUCCUCACCUCCCCCCGCUACCUCCUUGAUCCCCCCCCCCCUCCCCAGGAGCCGCUGAUAUAAAAUGCUCUGUCCCCCCCCUACUCCCUCGGAGAGAACAAAACGAGGUGACAUCAGGAUGUCACACAGAAUUUCAGGCCUUUUUGCAAAUGUAUUUUGUUAAGAGAAAAAAAGAGUAGGAAAGGUAGGGGGGGUAAUCUGACACUUAGGGAAACAAUCUCUCUCCUUUAAAGAGUGGCUGAUUUAGAUUUGCAUGGAAGUUUGAGAGGACAUAAAAAUGGAAAAUACUGACAAUACAAAAGAAAAUGAAAUGCACAUGGAAGGUGAGAGCAGGAGAGACUGCUAUAAAUUCCACAGGAUGUAUAUACAAUGCAAGGGGACUACAUAGUAUACAGCUAAUGACUUUCUCAUACAAUAUGUUGCAGUUGCAUAGGCUAGCGUUUGAUAUUAUGGAAGAAUACACAGUGCAUACAGCCUGAGGCGAUUGUUGUGGCUAACCCCUGAGCACCAGUUAAACACAUUAUCUCAUAUAGCCAGAAAACCCUGAUAUGUUGGCCAACUGUAUGAAGCAUCAUGUGCAGAAGUUGUUUUGACAUAACACACUCGUGAGCUCUUGGGGGCUAGCAGAAAAGAAAAGGCACCCUCAUUUAAAAGAGUAACGUGACAUUCUGCCCACUUUAACACUGACAUAUAAAAACCUAAUACAUAUCUGUGAAAUUUAGCAGAAGGGUUUGUGCCACUGUCUCUGGUAUUCUCUCUUAGGGGGAUUUUAACUUUUGAAGUGCAUUAUUAAUGUGAAUUACUUUUUAACUGCCACCCAUUCCAAAAAGAACAGCUUCUUCUGACUCGUUUCUUAUAAAGGCUUACACACAGCCAGGUUAUUAGACAUUUAGUGAUAGCAUUGUCUUGACAAUGUAUUCAUAGUACUUCUGUUAAUAGUUAGAUUACCAGAACAGCCAUCCGGUCUUUAAAUUGAGCUAACCCCAGAUUGCGUGCACAGGAUGACAUUUUAUAGUUGCACUUAUAGUUUUAGUGCACAGUGUUAGGCAGUAAUGCCCUGUUUUGUUAUUUUUGCAAGUGUGCUAAAUGGGUGUACAAAUAAUGAAGUCUCAGCUUCGCUCCGCUUGCUUUACAAACUCGUUUAAUAUGUGCACUGAAUGAGUGAUGUAAUGUUUAAUGAAUAGGCUUUUAGACACUGCAAAUGUUUGCAACGACAUGUCUUUGUUUCCUCUCCUCUGCUUUGCCACAUAUUAUCAGUUCUAGGUCUUUAAUUUGUGCCAUCUGAUUUUUUGAACCCUUUUAUUUAAUUGCAGUGUUUUUGUUCAUACUGUUUCAAUAAAAAACUGAAAACACUCUGAAAGCUCUCUUUUGUGUAUGGAAAUGUCUCGAUAGCACUUUCAAAUAUCCGUUUAUUGUCCUCGCCGUUUCCUAUCAGUUAGAUUACGUAGUGACUGAACACUGUAUUCAGUCUUGAGUCAGGCAAAAAUACUUGUGACGGUUAAAAUCUCAGACACUUAUUUUCUAUUUGCAAUUGCACUUCUCACACAUCAUUAACAAGCUUCCACACGGGCAACGGUCCACUCUGAUUGGCCCGUUUAAGUAAUGUUUCAAAUAAAAACAAAAACAACCCCUUUUCAGCAGGGAGACCAACAGCACCAAAUAUGGAGGAACAUAUGGCCUCGGACCGUUGAGGCGGUUGAGCCCUCUGACAGUUAGGUGUGUUUUUUAUGUCAUGUUGUGG